GAGAGAGAGAGAGAGAGAUGAGAGAAAUAAUAAGCAUACACAUUGGACAAGCAGGAAUUCAGGUGGGAAAUGCAUGCUGGGAGCUUUAUUGCUUGGAGCAUGGCAUCCAACCAGAUGGAAUGAUGCCCAGGUUAAAACCCUUUUUCUUCAAUUUUUUUCGUCCUUUUAAGUUUUUUAGAUUUUUCUGGUUUAUAAUUGGUUGUUGAAGUUCUAUGAUCAGGCCAAUGUAUCACCGUUCUAUUUGUAUUAUAUUUGGGUUUUUUUCUUUACAUUUAUAUCUGUACUUUUUUUUUAUCUUUUAUCUGAUUCUUUGGGCUCUCUCUCUCUCUCUCGCUCACCCCCCGCCCCCUUCUCUUCUUUUAAGCGGAAGUCUGUUUGGAUCUUGAGAUUUUCUAACAAUUUAAGCCUUAAAGUUUUUUUUUUCUCCACUUGCAUAGUGAAAACUGUAUCUUGUGAGUUUUAGAGUUUAUUCUAGUGGAUAGAAUUCAGAAACUUGUAUUUUCUGACUAUUGAUUGGAUUGGUUCAUGUUGUUUCCAAAUUUUGUGUUUUCUGUCUGUUAUUUGAUUGGACUUUGUUUAGGGUACUUAUGAAUGUAAAUGUCUUAUG
rnacentral:misc_RNA from 1 species